rnacentral:rRNA from 1 species
CACGUAGGGUGCGAGCGUUGUCCGGAAUUAUUGGGCGUAUAGAGCUCGUAGGCGGUGUGUCGCGUCGGCCGUGAAAACCUGCAGCUUAACUGUGGGCUUGCGGUCGAUACGGGCAUCACUGGAGUUCGGCAGGGGAGACUGGAAUUCCUGGUGUAGCGGUGAAAUGCGCAGAUAUCAGGAGGAACACCGGUGGCGAAGGCGGGUCUCUGGGCCGAUACUGACGCUGAGGAGCGAAAGCGUGGGUAGCAAACAGG